rnacentral:rRNA from 1 species
UGGGGAAUAUUGGACAAUGGGCGCAAGCCUGAUCCAGCCAUGCCGCGUGAGUGAUGAAGGCCCUAGGGUUGUAAAGCUCUUUCACCGGUGAAGAUAAUGACGGUAACCGGAGAAGAAGCCCCGGCUAACUUCGGGCCAGCAGCCGCGGUAAUACGAAGGGGGCUAGCGUUGUUCGGAUUUACUGGGCGUAAAGCGCACGUAGGCGGACUUUUAAGUCAGGGGUGAAAUCCCGGGGCUCAACCCCGGAACUGCCUUUGAUACUGGAAGUCUUGAGUAUGGUAGCGGUGCGUGGAAUUCCGAGUGUCGAGGUGCAAUUCGUAGAUAUUCGGAGGAACACCAGUGGCGCAGGCGGCUCACUGGACCAUUUCUGCCGCUGCGGUGCGCAAGCGUUGGGAGCAAACCGG